rnacentral:rRNA from 1 species
CCUACGGGACGCAGCAGUGGGGAAUUUUCCGCANUGGGCGAAAGCNUGACGGAGCAAUGCCGCGUGGAGGUAGAAGGCCCACGGGUCGUGAACUUCUUUUCCCGGAGAAGAAACAAUGACGGUAUNUGGGGAAUAAGCAUCGGCUAACUCUGUGCCAGCAGCCGCGGUAAUACAGAGGAUGCAAGCGUUAUCCGGAAUGAUUGGGCGUAAAGCGUCUGUAGGUGGCUUUUUAAGUCCGCCGUCAAAUCCCAGGGCUCAACCCUGGACAGGCGGUGGAAGCUACCAAGCUGGAGUACGGUAGGGGCAGAGGGAAUUUCCGGUGGAGCGGUGAAAUGCGUAGAGAUCGGAAAGAACACCAACGGCGAAAGCACUCUGCUGGGCCGACACUGACACUGAGAGACGAAAGCUGGGGGAGCGAAUGGGAUUAGAUACCCUAGUAGUC